GAUGAACGCUGGCGGCGUGCUUAACACAUGCAAGUCGAACGAAGCACUUAAGUGAAUUUCUUCGGAAUGAAGCUUUUGUGACUGAGUGGCGGACGGGUGAGUAACGCGUGGGUAACCUGCCUCAUACAGGGGGAUAACAGUUAGAAAUGACUGCUAAUACCGCAUAAGCGCACAGCUUCGCAUGAAGCGGUGUGAAAAACUCCGGUGGUAUGAGAUGGACCCGCGUCUGAUUAGCUAGUUGGUGGUGUAAUGGACCACCAAGGCGACGAUCAGUAGCUGGUUUGAGAGGAUGAUCAGCCACAAUGGGACUGAGACACGGCCCAU
rnacentral:rRNA from 1 species